AGCAGCCGCGGUAAUUCCAGCUCCAAUAGCGUAUAUUAAAGUUGUUGCAGUUAAAAAGCUCGUAGUUGAAUUUCGGGAUCAGUAUGUUGGUCGUGCUUCGGUACGUACUGUCAUUACUGGUUUCUACCUUCUGAAGAACCUUGAUGUCAUUAAUUUGGUGUCUUGGGGAAUCAGGACUGUUACUUUGAAAAAUUAGAGUGUUUAAAGCAAGCAUACGCUUGAAUACAUUAGCAUGGAAUAAUGAAAUAGGACGUUUGAUUCUAUUUUGUUGGUUUCUAGGAUCGACGUAAUGAUUAAUAGGGAUAGUUGGGGGCAUUAGUAUUCAAUUGUCAGAGGUGAGAUUCUUGGAUUUAUUGAAGACUAACUACUGCGAAAGCAUUUGCCAAGGAUGUUUUCAUUAAUCAAGAACGAAAGUUAGGGAUCGAAGACGAUCAGAUAC
rnacentral:rRNA from 1 species